GGGGAAUUUUGGACAAUGGGCGCAAGCCUGAUCCAGCCAUGCCGCGUGCGGGAAGAAGGCCUUCGGGUUGUAAACCGCUUUUGUCAGGGAAGAAAUCUUCUGGGUUAAUACCUCGGGAGGAUGACGGUACCUGAAGAAUAAGCACCGGCUAACUACGUGCCAGCAGCCGCGGUAAUACGUAGGGUGCGAGCGUUAAUCGGAAUUACUGGGCGUAAAGCGUGCGCAGGCGGUCUUGCAAGACAGGUGUGAAAUCCCCGGGCUUAACCUGGGAACUGCACUUGUGACUGCAAGGCUGGAGUACGGCAGAGGGGGAUGGAAUUCCGCGUGUAGCAGUGAAAUGCGUAGAUAUGCGGAGGAACACCGAUGGCGAAGGCAAUCCCCUGGGCCUGUACUGACGCUCAUGCACGAAAGCGUGGGGAGCAAAC
rnacentral:rRNA from 1 species